UACGUAGGCAGCAAGCGUUGUUCGGAGUUACUGGGCGUAAAGAGUGCGUAGGUGGUGCCCUAAGUCUGUUGUGAAAUCUCCCGGCUUAACUGGGAGGGUGCGGUGGAAACUGUGGUGCUUGAGUGUGGGAGAGGUAAGCGGAAUUCCUGGUGUAGCGGUGAAAUGCGUAGAUAUCAGGAGGAACACCGGUGGUGUAGACGGCUUACUGGACCACGACUGACACUGAGGCACGAAAGCGUGGGUAGCAAACAGG
rnacentral:rRNA from 1 species